UUGCUUCAGCAGCACAUAUACUAAAAUUGGAAUGAUAACAGAGAAGAUUAGCAUGGCUUCUGUGCAAGGAUGACACUCAACUCGUGAGGCAUGCGGUAUCUAA